AACGAACGCUGGCGGCAGGCCUAACACAUGCAAGUCGAGCGAGGACUUCGGUCCUAGCGGCGGACGGGUGAGUAACGCGUGGGAACGUGCCCCUUGGUACGGAAUAGCCCCGGGAAACUGGGAGUAAUACCGUAUGAGCUCUACGGAGGAAAGAUUUAUCGCCAAGGGAUCGGCCCGCGUUGGAUUAGGUAGUUGGUGGGGUAAUGGCCUGCCAAGCCGACGAUCCAUAGCUGGUUUGAGAGGAUGAUCAGCCACACUGGGACUGAGACACGGCCCAGACUCCUACGGGAGGCAGCAGUGGGGAAUCUUAGACAAUGGGCGCAAGCCUGAUCUAGCCAUGCCGCGUGAGCGAUGAAGGCCUUAGGGUUGUAAAGCUCUUUCAGCUGGGAAGAUAAUGACUGUACCAGCAGAAGAAGCCCCGGCUAACUCCGUGCCAGCAGCCGCGGUAA
rnacentral:rRNA from 1 species